rnacentral:rRNA from 1 species
UACGUAGGGUGUAAGCGUUGUCCGGAAUUAUUGGGCGUAAAGAGCUCGUAGGCGGUUUGUCGCGUCGACUGUGAAAACCCGGGGCUCAACCCCGGGCCUGCAUUCGAUACGGGCAGACUAGAGUUCGGUAGGGGAGUCUGGAAUUCCUGGUGUAGCGGUGAAAUGCGCAGAUAUCAGGAGGAACACCGGUGGCGAAGGCGGGUCUCUGGGCCGAUACUGACGCUGAGGAGCGAAAGCGUGGGGAGCGAACAGG